ACAUCUGCUCUGGUGCUCAGUACCAGAUGUUCUGCAACACAAGAAUGCAUUAUUUCUACUACUGGAGAUAUAGAAACCAAAACCAAUAUGAAUGUUGGGGUAAUGACUGUUACUGCUUUGGUGAUGAGGACACCUGCACAUGCUACAGUGGCACUUUGUCCUCCUGUUUCUGUAAGACUAACAUCUUCACAACUAUUGCAGAUAUGAUUAUUGCACUGCCAGAUCAAUGCAGGAGUCAGACCUUAGAAGGAUGUCUUCAAAAUCUUCUUGAGCAGAUAGAGAACAGUGCAGCUCAAGAUCUCCCUGCGACU